GACGAACGCUGGCGGCGUGCCUAAUACAUGCAAGUAGAACGCUGAAGGAGGAGCUUGCUCUUCUGGAUGAGUUGCGAACGGGUGAGUAACGCGUAGGUAACCUGCCUGGUAGCGGGGGAUAACUAUUGGAAACGAUAGCUAAUACCGCAUAAGAGUAGAUGUUGCAUGACAUUUGCUUAAAAGGUGCAAUUGCAUCACUACCAGAUGGACCUGCGUUGUAUUAGCUAGUUGGUGGGGUAACGGCUCACCAAGGCGACGAUACAUAGCCGACCUGAGAGGGUGAUCGGCCACACUGGGACUGAGACACGGCCCAGACACCUGCAGGGGGCAGCAGUAGGGAAUCUUAGGCAAUGGACGGAAGUCUGACCGAGCAACGCCGCGUGAGUGAAGAAGGUUUUCGGAUCGUAAAGCUCUGUUGUAAGAGAAGAACGAGUGUGAGAGUGGAAAGUUCACACUGUGACGGUAUCUUACCAGAAAGGGACGGCUAACUACGUG
rnacentral:rRNA from 1 species